rnacentral:lncRNA from 1 species
GGGCAUAACUACUGAUAAGUUACAAAACCUGUUUUCUAUCCUAAAGGGCAAUACAGCCCUAGACUCUCCCAGGUAUUUGACUCCUGCAGCAAAAAGGGGAAAUUGAGGAAAUAAAGCAAACUAUUUCUCAGAGGCAACUGUAUCACAUAGACCCACAAUAUUCAGUUCAAUUGUUUGUUUUUCCUACUAAACAUUCCCCAACAGGAUUAAUAGGACAGAUGACCCCAGGACUACGCUUCCUAGAUUGGGUUUUUUACUCACAUACCAGGACUAAAACACUGUCUUCCUAUAUCCAGCUAGUUAGUAAAGUUAUCUACACAGGCUGCAGACAAUGCAAUCAGUUGCUAGGUUAUGACCCUGAUGUCAUAAGAAUUCCUUUGAGUAAAAGGCAAUUUGGAGCAGUAUUGCCCCUAUCUCUAGAUCUUCAGAUAGCACUCUUUGAUUACACAGGCCAUAUAGAGCAUGCCCUUCCUGCUGACAACCUAAUUCAGUUCUUAUCUCGUACUCCUGUAGUUGUGCCUACAAAAGUAGUUCACUCUCCCAUACCCCAAUGCUUUAAUGCUUUUUACUGAUGGCUCUGGUAAAAAUGGAAAAGCAGCUAUUUGGUGGAAACUGCAUAAUUUCCUCACUCAUUCUGGAUUUACUAGCACUCAGAGAGCUGAGUUUGGAGCCUUAAUAUUGCCCCUGGAGGCCUUUUCCACUCUGCCUAUCAAUAUCGUUAGUGACUCUGCUUACUCUGUUUGUUUAUUGCAAAACCUUAAAACAGCCCUCAUUAAGUUCACUCUCGAGCCCACCCUGUGUGCACUUUUUCUUCAACUUCAGCAAUUGCUGGAUCAACGUACACAUCCUAUUUUUAUCACAGUUCACUGCCUGGCCCACUGGCUUAUGGCAAUGAACAAGCAGACCUGCAACUUACGACAUCACUGCUUGACCAAGCCACGCAGUCGCAUCAAUUUUUCCACCAAAAUUGGAGGAACUUAACAAUUUCAACUUUCCCAAAGACUAGCUAAACAAAUUAUCCUGCGAUGCCUGGAUUGCCAGCUUAUAGGCAUGUCCCCUCCUUCAACAGGCAUUAACCCUAGAGGACUAGAACCUAAUCAGUUAUGGCAAACAGAUGUUACUCACAUCCCUGACUUUGGAAAACUAAGAUAUGUACAUGUAUCCAUUGAUACCUAUUCUCACCUACUUAGUGCACUUGCUCUUCCUGGAAAGUCCACCUGAUAUGUUAUUAAACAUCUCUUAACUUUUGCAUUUAUGGGGCAGCCCACAAAAACUAAAACUGAUAGUGGCCCAGCUUAUGCCAACUCACAAUGUCAACAAUUUUGUCACACGUGGAACAUCCAACAUUCCACAGGCAUCCCAUAUAACCCCCAAGGACAGGCCAUAGUAGAACGUGUCCACUCUUAAAAAUAUGCUCAAAAAACAAAAAAGGGGGAAUAUGAAUAAGGACCCUGCAACACUACUAGCAAAAGCCUUAUUUGCCCUUAAUUUCUUAAAUUUAAACGAUAAAUUUCAAUCAGCUGUAGAAAAGCACUUUGCUAAAACCUCUCAAGACAUAAAACCCACAGUUUUUGGCCAGGCGCGGUGGCUCAAGCCUGUAAUCCCAGCACUUUGGGAGGCCGAGGCGGGUGGAUGACGAGGUCAGGAGUUCAAGACCAUCUGGGCUAACACGGUGAAACCCCGUCACUACUAAAAAUACAAAAAAUUAGCCGGGCGUGGUGGCGGGUGCCUGUAGUCCCAGCUACUUGGGAGGCUGAGGCCGGAGAAUGGCGUAAACCCGGGAGGCUUUACGGAGCUUGCAGUGAGCUGAGAUCCGGCCACUGUACUCCAGCCUGGGUGACAGAGCAAGACUCCGUCUCAAAAAAAAAAAAAAAAAAA